UGCCAGCCGCCGCGGUAAUACGUAAGUGGCAAGCGUUAUUCGGAAUUACUGGGCGUAAAGCGUACGUAGGCGGAUCAGAAAGUAAGGGGUGAAAUCCCAGGGCUCAACCCUGGAACUGCCUCCAAAACUCCCAGUCUUGAGUUCGAGAGAGGUGAGUGGAACUCCGAGUGUAGAGGUGAAAUUCGUAGAUAUUCGGAAGAACACCAGUGGCGAAGGCGGCUCACUGGCUCGAUACUGACGCUGAGGUGCGAAAGUGUGGGGAGCAAACAGGAUUAGAUA
rnacentral:rRNA from 1 species